rnacentral:rRNA from 1 species
GACGAACGCUGGCGGCGUGCUUAACACAUGCAAGUCGAGCGGUAAGGCCCCUUCGGGGGUACACGAGCGGCGAACGGGUGAGUAACACGUGAGUAAUCUGCCCCUCACUUGGGGAUAAGCCUCGGAAACGAGGUCUAAUACCCGAUAUGACCCAUCUCCGCAUGGAGUGUGGGUGGAAAGUUUUUUCGGUGAGGGAUGUGCUCGCGGCCUAUCAGCUUGUUGGUGGGGUAAUGGCCUACCAAGGCUUCGACGGGUAGCCGGCCUGAGAGGGUGACCGGCCACACUGGGACUGAGACACGGCCCAGACUCCUACGGGAGGCAGCAGUGGGGAAUAUUGGACAAUGGGCGGAAGCCUGAUCCAGCAACGCCGCGUGAGGGAUGACGGCCUUCGGGUUGUAAACCUCUUUCGACCUCGACGAAGCUUUUCGGAGUGACGGUAGGGGUGGAAGGAGCACCGGCCAACUACGUGCCAGCCGCCGCGGUAA